rnacentral:rRNA from 1 species
CCCACCGAUGGGGAGACGCAGGAGGGUAGAUAUACGCACGUUUGGAAGUGUGCGGUCGCCUAGUAGAGGGAGGUUCCAGGCAAAUCCGGAGCCUCGUUAACCUCGAGUGUGGCGAGGAAGUGGGUUUCGGCCCUACCAACUUAUUAACCCCAAACUGCCGAGAAAAUCCUCUAGGAAGUUUCCCGGGUGUCCGUACCGUAAACCGACACAGGUAGAUGGGGAGAGAAUCCUCAGGCGCACGUAUGAGCCCUCUCAUAGGAACUCGGCAAUCUAACCUCGUAACUUCGGAAGAAGAGGUGCCUCGGUAGGGUGAACGGGCCUGCGCCCGCGAGCCCGAGGAGGUUGCAAAAAAAUGGCUCUGGCGACUGUUUAGCAAAAACACAGGACUCUGCAAAGUCAUAAAAACGACGUAUAGGGUCUGACGCCUGCCCGGUGCUGGAAGGUUAAGGGGAGAGGUCAGCGCAAGCGAAGCUUUGAACCGAAGCCCCAGUAAACGGCGGCCGUAACAAUAACGGUCCUAAGGUAGCGAAAUUCCUUGUCGGGUAAGUUCCGACCCGCACGAAAGGCGUAACGACUAGAGCGCUGUCUCUGAGAGGGGUACGGCGAAAUUGUGGUUCCGGUGAAGACGCCGGAUACCUGCCGCUGGACGGAAAGACCCCGGCACCUUAACUGCAUCCUAGCAUUGGAUUCUGGGAUCGCACGCGCAGCAUAGGUGGGAGACUUUGAAGCUGGGCCCCCGGGUCCGGUGGAGUCAUCGGUGAGAUACCACUCUUGCGAUUCUGGGAUUCUAACUCGCUCCCCUGAUCGGGGAGGAAGACAGUGUUAGGUGGGUAGUUUAACUGGGGCGGUUGCCUCCUAAAAUGUAACGGAGGCGCCCUAAGGUUCCCUCAGGCUGUUUGGAAAUCAGCCGUAGAGUGCAAAGGCAUAAGGGAGCUUGACUGCGAGAGAGACAUCUCAAGCAGGGAGGAAACUCGGGCUUAGUGAUCCGGUGGUCCCGCAUGGAAGGGCCAUCGCUCAACGGAUAAAAGGUACGCCGGGGAUAACAGGCUAAUAGUCUCCAAGAGCUCAUAUCGACGAGACUGUUUGGCACCUCGAUGUCGGCUCAUCUCAUCCUGGGGCUGAAGCGGGUCCCAAGGGUCCGGCUGUUCGCCGGUUAAAGAGGUACGUGAGCUGGGUUCAGAACGUCGCGAGACAGUUCGGUCCCUAUCCACGGCAGGCGUAGGAGAUUUGAGGGGGGUGGUCCCUAGUACGAAAGGACCAGGACGAACGAACCUCUAGUGUGCCAGUUGUCCCGCCAGGGGCAUCGCUGGGUAGCUACGCUCGGAAGUGAUAACCGCUGAAGGCAUAUAAGCGGGAAGCACGCCUCAAGAUUAGAUCUCCCUCCCGCAAGGGCUGAAGGGCACAGGCAGAUCACCUGUUUGAUAGGCCGGGCGUGGAAGCGCAGAAAUGCGUUGAGCUUACCGGUACUAACCGCCCGUGAGACUUGAAC